rnacentral:rRNA from 1 species
AGAGUUUGAUCAUGGCUCAGAACGAACGCUGGCGGCAUGCCUAAUACAUGCAAGUCGCGCGUGAAAGUCCUUCGGGAUGAGUAAAGCGGCGCACGGGUGAGUAAUAUAUAGGAACGUGCCCUCCGAUGGGGAAUAACUACGGGAAACUGUAGCUAAUACCGCAUGAAGACGUGAGUCUAAAGCAGCCCUCUAUUUAUAAGGUUGCGUCGGUGGAGCGGCCUAUAUCCCAUUAGCUAGUUGGUAGGGUAAUGGCCUACCAAGGCGACGAUGGGUAGCCGGUCUGAGAGGACGAUCGGCCACACUGGGACUGAGACACGGCCCAGACUCCUACGGGAGGCAGCAGUAGGGAAUUUUGCACAAUGGGCGCAAGCCUGAUGCAGCAAUGCCGCGUGAGUGAAGAAGGCUCUUGGGUUGUAAAGCUCUUUCGGCCAAGAAGAAGGGACUACCUGCGAACAGCUUGUAGUUUUGACGGUAUGAAGAAGAAGCACCUGAUUGA